GCGUUUGUGGUGAAAUUGGUAUAUACAGGAGACUUAAAAUCUCCCGCCUGUAACGGGCAUGUCGGUUCGACUCCGACCAGACGCACCA
rnacentral:tRNA from 1 species